UUUUUCGGGCAUUUUCGUGAUUUGGGCUAUAUUACGGACCCAAAAUUACUUGUUCAAGCAUUGUUUUCGAAUUUUUUCAUGCAUCAAAGCUCGUUAAGACUAGAUGGGGUAUCCCUACAUAGCGGGUGGGACCCACGGCGAAUGGUUCAUCAAGUCUUCAAAAAAGAAUAUAUACGAUUGCAUUGCAUAUACUAACGGAUGCGAUCAUACCAGCACUAAUGCACCGGAUCCCAUCAGAACUCCGCAGUUAAGCGUGCUUGGGCGAGAGUAGUACUAGGAUGGGUGACCUCCCGGGAAGUCCUCGUGUUGCAUCCCUCUUUUAUGUUUAACCUUUUUUUUUUUGGUUAAAACUUUAUGACUCCAUAACUUCUAGACAG
rnacentral:rRNA from 1 species